UAGCUUGCUACUUUAUAUGAGAGCGGCGAACGGGUGAGUAAUAUGUUGGAAUCUGCCCCCAAGUCAGGGAUAGCCCACUGAAAGGUGGAUUAAUACCGGAUGUGCUCUUCGGAGUAAAGAUUUAUCGCUUGGGGAGGAGCCUUCAUUCUAUCAGCUAGUUGGUGAGGUAAAAGCUUACCAAGGCUAUGACGGAUAGCUGGUCUGAGAGGAUGAUCAGCCACAAUGGAACUGAGACACGGUCCAUACUCUUACGGGAGGCAGCAGUGAGGAAUCUUCCGCAAUGGGCGAAAGCCUGACGGAGCGACACCGCGUGAAGGAUGAAGGUCUAACGACUGUAAACUUCUUUUCUGGAGGAGCGUAAUGAGAGUACUUCAGGAAUAAGGGACGGCUAAUCACGUGCCAGCAGCCGCGGUAAUACGUGAGUCCCGAGCAUUACCCGGAAUUACUGGGUGUAAAGAGUUCGUAGGCGGGUAAAUAAGUCAGAUAUGAAAGACCGGAGCUUAACUUCGUGUUUGUAUUUGAAACUAUUUAUCUAGAAUCAGGAAGAGGUAAGCGGAAUUCUAAGUGUAGGGGUGCAAUCCGUAGAUACUUAGAAGAACACCAAAAGCGAAGGCAGCUUACUGGGACUUUGAUUGACGCUCAAGAACGAAAGCGUGGGGAGCGAAAAGGAUUAGAUACCCUUGUAGUCCACGCCCUAAACUAUGAUAACUAAGUGUUGGAGUUUUCUCCAGUGCUGUAGCUAACGCGUUAAGUUAUCCACCUGAGGAGUACGGUCGCAAGAUUAAAACUCAAAGGAAUAGACGGGGACCCACACAAGCAGUGGAUCAUGCGGUUUAAUUCGACACUAAACGGGGAAUCUUACCCAGACUUGACAUCCUGAGAAUCCACUGGAAACAGAGGAGUGCCCGCAAGGGAAUUCAGAGACAGGUGCUGCAUGGUUGUCGUCAGCUCGUGCCUUGAGGUGUUCGGUUAAGUCCGUUAACGAGCGCAACCCAUAUCGCUAGUUACUAUGUCUAGCGAGACUGCCUAUGUUAAAUAGGAGGAAGGUAUGGAUGACGUCAAAUCAGCAUGGCUUUUACGUCUGGGGCCACACGCAUGAUACAAUGGCCUGUACAAAGAGGAGCAAAAAGGUAACUUGGAGCAAAUCUCUAAAGCAGGUCUCAGUCCGGAUUGAGGUCUGAAACUUGACCUCAUGAAGUUGGAAUUGCUAGUAAUCGUGAAUCAGACAUGUCACGGUGAAUUUGUUCCUGGGUCUUGUACUCACCGCCCGUCGCGGCAUGGGAGGUAGUAAU
rnacentral:rRNA from 1 species